GUCAGGAUGGCCGAGCGGUCUAAGGCGCUGCGUUCAGGUCGCAGUCCGGUCUUCCGGGCGUGGGUUCGAAUCCCACUUUGGACA
rnacentral:tRNA from 1 species